UGGCCUUUUGAAGCAGGAGGAGAUUGACCUUCAUAGCAUGACCAGUUGUAUCUUUAAAGUGGAGGUGACCUGGUGUAGAGAAGACAAGUUUGGGCCAGGUGAAAGCAAGGUGUCUUGAUUGGAUCUGAUUAACUUGGACAGACACAUAAGGUACUGCCAGACAUUACUCCAAUUGAAGUCUUAUUGGCACGGAGUAGAGAAGAAGAACUAUUUCUAGUAUCUUGCUUACAACACUCUUGCUAAUACAUCCCAGAAUGAUGGUUUUUAGAACACCAGAAAUCGUGGAUGUGAAACUCGAAUUGUUCAACAGCAAAGUCAGCUUCAUUAGGAUUUAGGCCAGAGCCAGUACUGCACUCAACCUCACUUAUGAGUAUAUUUCAGACUUGUG